rnacentral:lncRNA from 1 species
AAAAAUACAACUAUUGAUCAAAAAAUCUAAAAGAAUACUCAUCUAUAAACAAAACAAUUCUUGUUAUCCUAAUUUCUAAAUCAAAACCCCAAAUCCACACUAUUAUUCACAAAAAUGAAAAUUUUCCUAUAAUAGAAGUUUUGAGAAUUUUAUCUAAAAUAUACAACCUAUUGAUAAAACAAAUCUUAAAAAAUACUCAUCUAUCAACAAAAAUUCUUGUUGUCCUAAUUUUUAAAUCAAAACCCCAAAUCUACAAUAUUUCUAUAAGAAAUUAAAACUUUCCAAGAAUAGAAUUUUUUAGACUUAUUUUAAAAAAAUACAACUAUUGAUCAAAAAAUCUAAAAGAAUACUCAUCUAUAAACAAAAAAAAAUACUUGUUAUCCUAAUUUCUAAAUCAAAAUCCCAAACCCACACUAUUAUUCACAAAAAUGAAAAAUUUCCUAAAGUAGAAUUUUUGAGAAUUUUAUCUCAAAUAUACAACCUAUUGAUCAAAAAAUCUAAAAGAAUACUCAUCUAUCUACAGAAAUUCUUGUUAUCCAAAUAUAUAAAUCACAACCUCAAAUCUACAAUAUUUCUCUAUAAAAAUAAAAAAUUUCAAAAAAUAAAUUAUUUGAGAAUUUUAUCUAAAAUAUAAAACCUAUUGAUCAAAAUAUCUAAAAGAAUACUCAUCUAUCAACAAAAAUUCUUGUUAUCCAAAUUUCUAAAUCACAACCCAAAUCUACAAUAUUUAUAUAAAAAUUGAAAACUUUCCUAAAAUAUAAUUUUUGGGAAUUAUUCUUUAAAAAUAAAAAUAUUGAUCAAAAAUCUAAAAGAAUACUCAUCUAUAAACAAAAAAUUCUUGAUAUCCUAAUUUCUAAAUUAAAACCCCAAAUCCACACUAUUAUUCACAAAAAUGAAAACUUUCAUAAAAUAGAAUUUCAUGGAAUUUUAUCUAAAAUAUACAACCUAUUGAUAAAAAAAUCUUAAAAAAAUACUCAUCUAUCAAAAACAAUUCUUGUUAUUCUAAUUUCUAAAUAAAAACCCCAAAUCUACAAUAUUUCUAUAAAAAAUAAAAACUUUCCUAGAAUAGAAUUUUUUAGAAUUAUUUUUAAAAAAUACAACUAUUGAUCAAAAAAUCCAAAAGAAUACUCAUCUAUAAACAAAAAAUUCUUGUUAUCCUAAUUUUUAAAUUAAACCCCAAAUCCACACUUUUAUUUACAAAAAUAAAAAUUUUCCUAAAAUAGAAUUUUUGACAAUUUUAUCUAAAAUAUACAUCCUAUUGAUCAAAAAAUUUAAAAGAAUACUCAUCUAUCUACAAAAAUUAUUGUUAUCCUAAUUUCUAAAUCACAAUCUCAAAUGUACAAUAUUUUUAUAAAAAUGAAAACUUUCCUAAAAUAGAACUUUUGAGAAUUAUUUUUAAAAAAUACAACUAUUGCUCAAAAAAUCUAAAAGAAUACUCAUCUAUAAACAAAACAUUUCUUGUUAUCCUAAUUUCUAAAUCAAAACCCCAAAUCCACACUAUUAUUCCGAAAAACUAAAACUUUCCUAAAAUAGAAUUUUUAAGAAUUUUAUGUAAAAUAUACAACUUAUUGAUCAAAAAAUCUAAAAAAAAAAAUACUCAUCUAUCAACAAAAAUUCUUGUUAUCCUAAUUUCUAAAUCAAAACCCCAAAUCCACACUAUUAUUCACAAAAAUGAAAACUUUCCUAAAAUAGAAUUUUUAAGAAUUUUAUGUAAAAUAUACAACUUAUUGAUCAAAAAAUCUAAAAGAAUACUCAUCUAUAAACAAAAAAAUUAUUGUUGUCUUAAUUUCUAAAUAAAAACCCCAAAUCCACACUAUUAUUCACAAAAAUGAAAACUUUCCUAAAAUAGAAUUUUUAAGAAUUUUAUCUAAAAUAUAAAACCUAUUGAUAAAAAAAUCAAAUAAAAUACUCAUCUAUCCACAAAAAUUCUUGUUAUCGUAGUUUCUAAAUCACAACCCCCAAUCUACAAUAUUUCUAAAAAAAUGAAAACUUUCCUAAAAUAGAAUUUCUGAGAAUUAUUUUUAAAAAAUACAACUAUUAAUCAAAAAAUCAAAAAGAAUACUCAUCUAUAAAUAAAAAAAAUUCUUGUUAUCCUAAUUUCUAAAUCAAAACCCCAAAUCCACACUAUUACUCACAAAAUGAAAACUUUCAUAAAAUAGAAUUUUCGAGAAUUUUAUCUAAAAUAUAAAACCUAUUGAUAAAAAAAUUAAAAAGAAAUACUCAUUUAUCCGCAAAAGUUCUUGUUUUCCUAGUUUCUAAAUCACAACCCCCAAUCUACAAUAAUUCUUUAGAAAAUGAAAACUUUCCUAAAAUAGAAUUUUUGAGAAUUAUUUUGAAAAAAAUACAACUAUUGAUCAAAAAAUCUAAAACAAAUUCUCAUCUAUAAACAAAAAAAAUUCUUGUUAUCCUAAUUUCUAAAUCAAAACCCCAAAUCCACACUAUUAUUCACAAAAAUGAAAAUUUUCCUAAAAUAGAAUUUUUGAGAAUUUUAUCAAAAAUAUAUAAACCUAUUGAUCAAAAAAUCUAAAAAAAAUACUCAUCUAUCAACAAAAAUUCUUGUUAUCCUAAUUUAUAAAUCACAACCCCAAAUCUACAAUAUUUCAAUAAAAAAUGAAAACUUUCCUAAAAUAGAAUUUUUGAGAAUUAUUUUUUUAAAAAUACAACUAUUGAUCAAAAAAUCUAAAAGAAUACUCAUCUAUAAACAAAAAAUUCUUGUUAUCCUAAUUUCUAAAUCAAAACCCCAAAUCCACACUAUUAUUCACAAAAAUGAAAACUUUCCUAAAAUAGAAUUUUUGAGAAUUUUAUCUAAAAUAUAAAACUUAUUGAUCAAAAAAUCAAAAAAAAAUACUCAUCUAUCCGAAAAAGUUCU